rnacentral:rRNA from 1 species
UGGGCCUACGGGAGGCAGCAGUGGGGAAUAUUGCGCAAUGGACGAAAGUCUGACGCAGCGACGCCGCGUGAGGGAUGAAGGUUUUCGGAUCGUAAACCUCUGUCAGGAGGGAAGAAAGCGCAUGGCGCCAAUCAGCCAUGCGUUGACGGUACCUCCAAAGGAAGCGCCGGCUAACUCCGUGCCAGCAGCCGCGGUAAUAAGGAGGGCACGAGCGUUAAUCGGAAUUACUGGGCGUAAAGCGCGCGUAGGCUGUUGUGUAAGUUGGGGGUGAAAUCCGAGGGCCAAACCGUGGAAC